rnacentral:tRNA from 3 species
GGGCGCGUAGCUCAGUUGGUAGAGCAGCUGACUCUUAAUCAGCGGGUCACAGGUUCGAUCCCUGUCGCGCCCA